AUUGAACGCUGGCGGCAUGCCUUACACAUGCAAGUCGAACGGUAACAGGUCUACGGAUGCUGACGAGUGGCGAACGGGUGAGUAAUACAUCGGAACGUGCCUAGUAGUGGGGGAUAACUACUCGAAAGAGUGGCUAAUACCGCAUGAGAUCUACGGAUGAAAGCAGGGGAUCGCAAGACCUUGUGCUACUAGAGCGGCCGAUGGCAGAUUAGGUAGUUGGUGGGAUAAAAGCUUACCAAGCCGACGAUCUGUAGCUGGUCUGAGAGGACGAUCCGCCACACUGGGACUGAGAAACGGCACAGACGCCGACGGGAGGCAGCAGUGGGGAAUUUUGGACAAUGGGCGCAAGCCUGAUCCAGCAAUGCCGCGUGCAGGAUGAAGGCCUUCGGGUUGUAAACUGCUUUUGUACGGAACGAAAAGCCCCGGGUUAAUACCCUGGGGUCAUGACGGUACCGUAAGAAUAAGCACCGGCUAACUACGUGCCAGCCGCCGCCGUAA
rnacentral:rRNA from 1 species